rnacentral:rRNA from 1 species
AAAGGAUGUGGGAUCGCGAAGACAACCAGGAGGUUGGCUUAGAAGCAGCCAUCCUUGAAAGAGUGCGUAAUAGCUCACUGGUCGAGUGGUUCUGCGCCGACAAUGUAGUGGGGCUCAAGUACACCGCCGAAGCCGCGGCAAUCAUCUUUUGUGGUGGUUGGGUAGGGGAGCGUCGCGUUACUGCUGUGAAGCGCUGGGGUAACCCUAGUGUGGAGUGUGCGCGAGUGAGAAUGCAGGCAUGAGUAGCGAAUGAGGAGUGGAAAACUCCUCCGCCGAAUGACUAAGGGUUCCUGGGCCAGGUUAAUCCUCCCAGGGUGAGUCGGGACCUAAGGCGAGGCCGACAGGCGUAGUCGAUGGAUAACGGGUUGAUAUUCCCGUACCCGUGUGUCCGCGCCCAUGGUGAAUCAGGGAUACUAACCCACCUGAACACGCGCCUUUCGCUGACCUUUUAGGUUGGUUGGUGUGUGUGAUGCUGGGGACCUGAACUGGUAGUAGCCAAGUGAUGGGGUGACGCAGGAAGGUAGCCGUGCCACGUGAUGGAUAUCGUGGUGUAAGCGUGUGGCCCGUGUUCUAGGUAAAUCCGGAGCACAGUGGGGUGAGGCGUGAUGCGUACCCGUAUUUGGGGAAGUUGGUGAUCCUAUGCUGCCGAGAAAAGCCUCUAGCGAUGUGGAUAUACGGCCCGUACCCGAAACCGACACAGGUAGUCAGGUAGAGAAUACUAAGGCGAUCGGGAGAACUGUGGUUAAGGAACUCGGCAAAAUGCCCCCGUAACUUCGGGAGAAGGGGGGCCAUGACUGGUGACCGACGUGGUUGAGCUGGUUGUGGCCGCAGAGAAUAGAGGGAAGCGACUGUUUACUAAAAACACAGGUCCGUGCGAAGACGUUUAAGUCGAUGUAUACGGACUGACGCCUGCCCGGUGCUGGAAGGUUAAGAGGACCUGUUAGAUCAUUUGUGGUCGAAGCGGAGAAUUUAAGCCCCAGUAAACGGCGGUGGUAACUAUAACCAUCCUAAGGUAGCGAAAUUCCUUGUCGGGUAAGUUCCGACCUGCACGAAUGGCGUAACGACUUCCCUGCUGUCUCAACCACAGACCCGGCGAAAUUGCAGUACGAGUAAAGAUGCUCGUUACGCGCGGCAGGACGAAAAGACCCCGGGACCUUCACUAUAGCUUGGUAUUGGUGUUCGGUUCGGUUUGUGUAGGAUAGGUGGGAGACUGUGAUGCCUCAACGCCAGUUGGGGUGGAGUCGUUGUUGAAAUACCACUCUGAUCGUAUUGGACAUCUCAACCUCGGCCCGUGAUCCGGGUUAGGGACAGUGCCUGGUGGGUAGUUUAACUGGGGCGGUUGCCUCCCAAAGAGUAACGGAGGCGCCCAAAGGUUCCCUCAGCCUGGUUGGCAAUCAGGUGUUGAGUGUAAGUGCACAAGGGAGCUUGACUGUGAGACUGACAGGUCGAGCAGGUAGGAAACUAGGGACUAGUGAUCCGGCACCGGCUUGUGGAAGCGGUG